GAACGGGGAACAUUUUAUGGAAGCUUCGGUGGAAAUAGCUUGUUCCUAGUGGCGGACGGGUGAGUAACGCGUGGGUAACCUGCCUCACACUGGGGGAUAACAGUCAGAAAUGACUGCUAAUACCGCAUAAGCGCACGGGAUUGCAUGAUCCAGUGUGAAAAACUCCGGUGGUGUGAGAUGGACCCGCGUUGGAUUAGCCAGUUGGCAGGGUAACGGCCUACCAAAGCGACGAUCCAUAGCCGGCCUGAGAGGGUGGACGGCCACAUUGGGACUGAGACACGGCCCAGACUCCUACGGGAGGCAGCAGUGGGGAAUAUGGCACAAUGGGGGAAACCCGGAAUGCAGGGACCCGGCGUGAAAGGAAGAAGUAUCUCGGUAUGUAACUUCUAUCAGCAGGGAAGAAAAUGACGGUACCUGACUAAGAAGCCCCGGCUAACUACGUGCCAGCAGCCGCGGUAAUACGUAGGGGGCAAGCGUUAUCCGGAUUUACUGGGUGUAAAGGGAGCGUAGACGGAGCAGCAAGUCUGAUGUGAAAGGCAGGGGCUCAACCCCUGGACUGCAUUGGAAACUGUUGAUCUUGAGUACCGGAGAGGUAAGCGGAAUUCCUAGUGUAGCGGUGAAAUGCGUAGAUAUUAGGAGGAACACCAGUGGCGAAGGCGGCUUACUGGACGG
rnacentral:rRNA from 1 species